GUGCGUGCGCUAGUUGUCAGAUCGCAAGACUGCGGCUGGACGUUCUGUGUGGUUCGACUGUUGCAUUUUGGCCGAGUAGCACUAGCGGCUUUGAUGGGCCCCAGCGUUCCGCCGGCAGGGUGAAGGCGCCGCUUCGGUGGUUGUCGCACUGUUCGCAGUAGCGCUCGUCGCCUGUCAAUUGGUUUUCGCAGUGGACGGCGUUACGCUGCAGUGCGUUGUCGUGGCUGGUGGGUGCGUGGUGCACAUGCUUGCAUGAAGCUGCGUUAUGUCGCUGGUCCAUCGGUCGGCGAUCUGCUGCUUCCACACUCGCUGGUGAACCAACGUCAGUCACCUAUCCGACCCGUCUUGAAAACCCACGGACCAACGGAGUCCCUAACAUCAUAUCGCGAGUUGUAGGGUGUUAAACCUGCAAGGCCGCAAUGAACAGUAACAGCUUUCCAACGAUACACCGGACUCGGGCCAACCGAAGCCACUGUUAGCCCCGUUGCUAUUUGCAUGUCAACAGGUGCGGCGGAACGAGCAUAUCACGUCUGGGCACCCGAAAUGAUGGUGAACUAUGCCUGAGCAGGGCGAAGCCAGAGGAAAUCUANUGGUGGAGGCUCGAAGCGGUUCUGACGUGCAAAUUCGAU
rnacentral:rRNA from 1 species